rnacentral:lncRNA from 1 species
CCAGGCGCAGGGCUGGGAGGCGCAGGCGACGGCGGGGGCACACCCGGCGCGGGGCUGGGCGGCUCCGGCGAAGGCGGCGGAGUACCAGGCGCAGGGCUGGGAGGGGCAGGCGACGGCGGGGGCACACCCGGCGCGGGGCUGGGCGGCUCCGGCGAAGGCGGCGGCGUGCCAGGCGCAGGGCUGGGAGGCGCAGGGCGACGGCGGGGGCACACCCGGCGCGGGGCUGGGCGGCUCCGGCGAAGGCGGCGGCGUGCCAGGCGCAGGGCUGGGAGGCGCAGGCGACGGCGGGGGCACACCCGGCGCGGGGCUGGGCGGCUCCGGCGAAGGUGGCGGCGUGCCAGGCGCAGGGCUGGGAGGCGCAGGCGACGGCGGGGGCACACCCGGACCGGGGCUGGGCGGCUCCGGCGAAGGCGGCGGCGUGCCAGGCGCAGGGCUGGGAGGCGCAGGCGACGGCGGGGGCACACCCGGCGCGGGGCUGGGCGGCUCCGGCGAAGGCGGCGGCGUGCCAGGCGCAGGGCUGGGAGGUGCAGGCGACGGCGGGGGCACACCCGGCGCGGGGCUGGGCGGCUCCGGCGAAGGCGGUGGCGUGCCAGGCGCAGGGCUGGGAGGCGCAGGCGACGGCGGGGGCACACCCGGCGCGGGGCUAGGCGGCUCUGGCGAAGGCGGCGCAGGGCUGGGAGGCGCAGGGCUGGGAGGCGCAGGCGACGGCGGGGGCACACCCGGUGCGGGGCUGGGCGGCUCCGGCGAAGGCGGCGGAGUACCAGGCGCAGGGCUGGGAGGCGCAGGCGACGGCGGGGGCACGCCCGGACCGGGGCUGGGCGGCUCCGGCGAAGGUGGCGGCGCACCAGGCGCGGGGCUGGGAGGCGCAGGCGACGGCGGGGGCACGCCCGGCGCGGGGCUGGGCGGCUCCGGCGAAGGAGGCGGCGUGCCAGGCGCAGGGCUGGGAGGCGCAGGCGACGGCGGGGGCACACCCGGUCCGGGGCUGGGCGGCUCCGGCGAAGGCGGCGGCGUGCCAGGCGCAGGGCUGGGAGGCGCAGGCGACGGCGGGGGCACACCCGGCGCGGGGCUGGGCGGCUCCGGCGAAGGCGGCGGCGUGCCAGGCGCAGGGCUGGGAGGCGCAGGCGACGGCGGGGGCACACCCGGCGCGGGGCUGGGCGGCUCCGGCGAAGGCGGCGGCGUGCCAGGCGCAGGGCUGGGAGGCGCAGGCGACGGCGGGGGCACACCCGGCGCGGGGCUGGGCGGCUCCGGCGAAGGCGGUGGCGUGCCAGGCGCAGGGCUGGGAGGCGCAGGCGACGGCGGGGGCACACCCGGCGCGGGGCUAGGCGGCUCUGGCGAAGGCGGCGGCGUACCAGGCGCAGGGCUGGGAGGCGCAGGCGACGGCGGGGGCACACCCGGACCGGGGCUGGGCGGCUCCGGCGAAGGUGGCGGCGUGCCAGGCGCGGGGCUGGGAGGCGCAGGCGACGGCGGGGGCACACCCGGCGCGGGGCUGGGCGGCUCCGGCGAAGGCGGCGCAGGGCUGGGAGGCGCAGGGCUGGGAGGCGCAGGCGACGGCGGGGGCACACCCGGCGCAGGGCUGGGCGGCUCCGGCGAAGGCGGUGGCGUGCCAGGCGCAGGGCUGGGAGGCGCAGGCGACGGCGGGGGCACACCCGGCGCGGGGCUAGGCGGCUCUGGCGAAGGCGGCGCAGGGCUGGGAGGCGCAGGGCUGGGAGGCGCAGGCGACGGCGGGGGCACACCAGGUCCGGGGCUGGGCGGCUCCGGCGAAGGCGGCGGCGUGCCAGGCGCAGGGCUGGGAGGCGCAGGCGACGGAGGGGGCACACCCGGCGCGGGGCUGGGCGGCUCCGGCGAAGGCGGCGGCGUGCCAGGCGCAGGGCUGGGAGGCGCAGGCGACGGAGGGGGCACACCCGGCGCGGGGCUGGGCGGCUCCGGCGAAGGCGGCGGCGUGCCAGGCGCAGGGCUGGGAGGCGCAGGCGACGGCGGGGGCACACCCGGACCGGGGCUGGGCGGCUCCGGCGAAGGCGGCGGCGUGCCAGGCGCAGGGCUGGGAGGCGCAGGCGACGGCGGGGGCACACCCGGCGCGGGGCUAGGCGGCUCUGGCGAAGGCGGCGCAGGGCUGGGAGGCGCAGGGCUGGGAGGCGCAGGCGACGGCGGGGGCACACCCGGCGCGGGGCUGGGCGGCUCCGGCGAAGGAGGCGGCGUGCCAGGCGCAGGGCUGGGAGGCGCAGGCGACGGAGGGGGCACACCCGGCGCGGGGCUGGGCGGCUCCGGCGAAGGCGGCGGCGCGCCAGGCGCAGGGCUAGGAGGCGCAGGCGACGGCGGGGGCACACCCGGCGCAGGGCUGGGCGGCUCUGGCGAAGGAGGCGGCGUGCCAGGCGCAGGGCUGGGAGGCGCAGGCGACGGAGGGGGCACACCCGGCGCGGGGCUGGGCGGCUCCGGCGAAGGCGGCGGCGCGCCAGGCGCAGGGCUAGGAGGCGCAGGCGACGGCGGGGGCACACCCGGCGCGGGGCUGGGCGGCUCCGGCGAAGGCGGCGGCGUGCCAGGCGCAGGGCUGGGAGGCGCAGGCGACGGCGGGGGCACACCAGGUCCGGGGCUAGGCGGCUCUGGCGAAGGCGGCGGCGUGCCAGGCGCAGGGCUGGGAGGCGCAGGCGACGGAGGGGGCACACCCGGCGCGGGGCUGGGCGGCUCCGGCGAAGGCGGCGGCGUGCCAGGCGCAGGGCUGGGAGGCGCAGGCGACGGCGGGGGCACACCCGGCGCGGGGCUGGGCGGCUCCGGCGAAGGCGGCGGCGUGCCAGGCGCAGGGCUGGGAGGCGCAGGCGACGGCGGGGGCACACCCGGCGCGGGGCUAGGCGGCUCCGGCGAAGGCGGCGGAGUACCAGGCGCAGGGCUGGGAGGCGCAGGCGACGGCGGGGGCACACCAGGUCCGGGGCUGGGCGGCUCCGGCGAAGGAGGCGGCGUGCCAGGCGCAGGGCUGGGAGGCGCAGGCGACGGAGGGGGCACACCCGGCGCGGGGCUGGGCGGCUCCGGCGAAGGCGGCGGCGCGCCAGGCGCAGGGCUAGGAGGCGCAGGCGACGGCGGGGGCACACCCGGCGCAGGGCUGGGCGGCUCCGGCGAAGGAGGCGGCGUGCCAGGCGCAGGGCUGGGAGGCGCAGGCGACGGCGGGGGCACACCCGGCGCGGGGCUAGGCGGCUCUGGCGAAGGCGGCGCAGGGCUGGGAGGCGCAGGGCUGGGAGGCGCAGGCGACGGCGGGGGCACACCCGGCGCGGGGCUGGGCGGCUCCGGCGAAGGCGGCGGCGUGCCAGGCGCAGGGCUGGGAGGCGCAGGCGACGGCGGGGGCACACCCGGCGCAGGGCUGGGCGGCUCCGGCGAAGGCGGCGGCGUGCCAGGCGCAGGGCUGGGAGGCGCAGGCGACGGAGGGGGCACACCCGGCGCGGGGCUAGGCGGCUCCGGCGAAGGCGGCGGCGUGCCAGGCGCAGGGCUGGGAGGCGCAGGCGACGGCGGGGGCACACCCGGCGCGGGGCUGGGCGGCUCCGGCGAAGGCGGCGGCGUGCCAGGCGCAGGGCUGGGAGGCGCAGGCGACGGCGGGGGCACACCCGGCGCGGGGCUGGGCGGCUCCGGCGAAGGUGGCGGAGUACCAGGCGCAGGGCUGGGAGGCGCAGGCGACGGCGGGGGCACACCCGGCGCAGGGCUGGGCGGCUCCGGCGAAGGCGGCGGCGUGCCAGGCGCAGGGCUAGGAGGCGCAGGCGACGGAGGGGGCACACCCGGCGCGGGGCUAGGCGGCUCCGGCGAAGGUGGCGGCGUACCAGGCGCAGGGCUGGGAGGCGCAGGCGACGGCGGGGGCACACCCGGCGCGGGGCUGGGCGGCUGCGGCGAAGGUGGCGGCGUACCAGGCGCAGGGCUGGGAGGCGCAGGCGACGGCGGGGGCACACCCGGCGCGGGGCUAGGCGGCUCCGGCGAAGGCGGCGGAGUACCAGGCGCAGGGCUGGGAGGCGCAGGCGACGGCGGGGGCACACCCGGCGCGGGGCUAGGCGGCUCCGGCGAAGGCGGCGGAGUACCAGGCGCAGGGCUGGGAGGCGCAGGCGACGGCGGGGGCACACCCGGCGCGGGGCUAGGCGGCUCCGGCGAAGGUGGCGGAGUACCAGGCGCAGGGCUGGGAGGCGCAGGCGACGGCGGGGGCACACCAGGUCCGGGGCUGGGCGGCUCCGGCGAAGGUGGCGGCGUGCCAGGCGCAGGGCUGGGAGGCGCAGGCGACGGCGGGGGCACACCCGGCGCGGGGCUGGGCGGCUGCGGAGAAGGAGGCGGCGUGCCAGGCGCAGGGCUGGGAGGCGCAGGCGACGGCGGGGGCACACCCGGCGCGGGGCUGGGCGGCUCCGGCGAAGGCGGCGGCGCGCCAGGCGCAGGGCUGGGAGGCGCAGGCGACGGCGGGGGCACACCCGGCGCGGGGCUAGGCGGCUCUGGCGAAGGCGGCGGCGUGCCAGGCGCAGGGCUGGGAGGCGCAGGCGACGGAGGGGGCACACCCGGCGCGGGGCUGGGCGGCUCCGGCGAAGGCGGCGGCGUGCCAGGCGCAGGGCUGGGAGGCGCAGGCGACGGAGGGGGCACACCCGGCGCGGGGCUGGGCGGCUCCGGCGAAGGCGGCGGCGUGCCAGGCGCAGGGCUGGGAGGCGCAGGCGACGGCGGGGGCACACCCGGCGCGGGGCUGGGCGGCUCCGGCGAAGGCGGCGGCGUGCCAGGCGCAGGGCUGGGAGGCGCAGGCGACGGCGGGGGCACACCCGGCGCGGGGCUAGGCGGCUCCGGCGAAGGCGGCGGAGUACCAGGCGCAGGGCUGGGAGGCGCAGGCGACGGCGGGGGCACACCAGGUCCGGGGCUGGGCGGCUCCGGCGAAGGAGGCGGCGUGCCAGGCGCAGGGCUGGGAGGCGCAGGCGACGGCGGGGGCACACCCGGCGCGGGGCUGGGCGGCUCCGGCGAAGGCGGCGGAGUACCAGGCGCAGGGCUGGGAGGCGCAGGCGACGGCGGGGGCACACCCGGCGCGGGGCUAGGCGGCUCCGGCGAAGGCGGCGGAGUACCAGGCGCAGGGCUGGGAGGCGCAGGCGACGGCGGGGGCACACCCGGCGCGGGGCUAGGCGGCUCCGGCGAAGGCGGCGGCGUACCAGGCGCAGGGCUGGGAGGCGCAGGCGACGGCGGGGGCACACCCGGCGCGGGGCUAGGCGGCUCCGGCGAAGGUGGCGGCGUACCAGGCGCAGGGCUGGGAGGCGCAGGCGACGGCGGGGGCACACCCGGCGCGGGGCUGGGCGGCUCCGGCGAAGGAGGCGGCGUGCCAGGCGCAGGGCUGGGAGGCGCAGGCGACGGAGGGGGCACACCCGGCGCGGGGCUGGGCGGCUCCGGCGAAG